GAUGAACGCUGGCGGCGUGCCUAAUACAUGCAAGUCGAGCGAACAGAUGAGGAGCUUGCUCCUCUGACGUUAGCGGCGGACGGGUGAGUAACACGUGGAUAACCUACCUAUAAGACUGGGAUACCUUCGGGAAACCGGAGCUAAUACCGGAUAAUAUAUUGAACCGCAUGGUUCAAUAGUGAAAGACGGUUUUGCUGUCACUUAUAGAUUGAUCCGCGCCGCAUUAGCUAGUUGGUAAGAUAACGGCUUACCAAGGCAACGAUGCGUAGCCGACCUGAGAGGGUGAUCGGCCACACUGGAACUGAAACACGGUCCAGACUCCUACGGGAGGCAGCAGUAGGGAAUCUUCCGGAAUGGGCGAAAGCCUGACGGAGCAACGCCGCGUGAGUGAUGAAGGUCUUCGGAUCGUAAAACUCUGUUAUGAGGGAAGAACAAAUGUGUAAGUAACUAUGCACGUCUUGACGGUACCUAAUCAGAAAGCCACGGCUAACUACGUG
rnacentral:rRNA from 1 species